GACGUAGGGCGCGAGCGUUGUCCGGAUUUAUUGGGCGUAAAGAGCUCGUAGGCGGCUUGUCGCGUCGUCCGUGAAAACCUGCGGCUCAACUGCAGGCUGGCGGUCGAUACGGGCAGGCUGGAGUUCGGUAGGGGAGACUGGAAUUCCUGGUGUAGCGGUGAAAUGCGCAGAUAUCUGGAGGAAUACCGGUGGCGAAGGCGGCAUCCUGGACCGGCAUUGACGCUGAGUGAGCGAAAGCCAGGGGAGCAAACGGG
rnacentral:rRNA from 1 species